UACAGAGGUCUCAACCGUUGUUCGGAUUCAUUGGGCGUAAAGGGUGCGUAGGCGGUCGCGCAAGUCGGAUGUGAAAUCUCAGGGCUCAACCCUGAAACUGCACUCGAUACUGCGUGGCUAGAGUGCUGGAGGGGAGACUGGAAUUUACGGUGUAGCAGUGAAAUGCGUAGAUAUCGUAAGGAAGACCAGUGGCGAAGGCGAGUCUCUGGACAGCAACUGACGCUGAGGCACGAAGGCCAGGGGAGCAAACGGG
rnacentral:rRNA from 1 species